CUAACACACUUGUUAGUCUUCGAACUUUAGCUUUAACCCUCACAUUGCCCACUUUUGCAUUAGAGGGCACAUAAAAUAAAUUAUGCGAAUAAGUUAAAGUUAUACAAAGGUAAAUUAAAGGAAGGAACUUCCCUUUUACCGCACAAACUUGUUGGAAUGCAAAGGCCGGAUAUACGAACUUGACCCUCCUCAACCAAUGACUUUAUCUCAUGUUUGUAAAGCGGAUUUUGCUUGUAUUUUCAUGCAAAUAUGUCAUGUGGCAGCCUACUCCACGGCCUGGGUGUGGCCUGUCUUCUUUGCCACGGGUGGGUUGUGGUGAAUUUUAACCCUUAACAGUUGACAUACCUAUAACUUAUCCAUUGUACUCUGCAAAUGGAACUAGUACGGACAUCCAUCCUAACUAUGGAAUUAUAAAGAGGGAGCAGCCCGGUUGAUUUAAUCCAAACAUUGUCUCCCUCUGAUUGGUAACCCCAAUAGAUUUUUAAUUUUUAACCCACUAUCAACAUUAGCUUUAACCAAGGCUUUUGCAAUACAAACCAUCACGUUUCCGAUAUGUUCAUGGGAUCAUGCUCCACCCACCUUGCAACUUGAACCGUUGAUCCGAUGAAUCUUCUGAUUCUUUUGACAUUGUUUUGGAAAGAUCGACUCAUAGUCGUAUGGUUAGGUUGGAUCUUCCACAAAUUAACUCAAUUUGAUAAUCGCCAGCGAUCAAUAAUUUGUUCAAAUCAGAAAUUAGGCAAACAUGCACCAAUAUACCAUAUUAAUAUAACCAACCACACGUUUAUUCCAUACACCAUAUAUUAUAUUGUUUGAUAUGAUCACACCUUGCAUAUUCAAUAUGAAAACACGCAAGAACAACUACCGCAGGAAACCUAAUUGAAGGGUAGUCAAUUUAUCAUUACAAACUUUUGUAUAAGGCGGUCUUUCCUGUAAGACCACCUUGUAGUGGGUUAUAUUCGCGGUCCAAAUCUUGUUGGCCGGGUUGCGGGUCGAAUUAUUUGGGUCCUAUAAAAAGCUUUUUUUACGCAAAUUUUCCCAUUUCAAAUCACUGUUCACAUUUCAGGGAUUGAGGAGAGAGAAAGCUCUGUGAUUCUUCGCCGAUCCUUCUUCUACAAUUCUACUGCCAUUCUACUCGAUUUCUUCAGAUCUCCGACUCAGCCUCUCUGCUUCAUCUUCGUUUCUGCGAUUUCGUAAGUUUCUCUUUCGAUUUUCUUUCGAUUCACCUUCGAUUUUGUUUUCUGGUGGUUUGUGAUUGGCUUGUGGUGGGGGCUCAUACGCGAAUGAGAGCAAGAUUUGUGGUGGAUUUCAUUGAUGCAAUAAUUAAGGCUUACGAAGCAGCGGUGAGGAAGGUGGCGGCGUUGUCGAUUGCGGCGGUAAUGUAGGUCUUCGCUCACCACAAAGGAUGCUCGGUUCCAGCGAAGGAAAGAAUCAGAUCCUCGCCGGCGAGCAGCGAGAGAUGAAGGAGAGGUCGUCGGCGUGAAGAUUCAGAGCCGCCAUUGUUUGCUGUUAUGUGCUCUGAUUUUCCUUCAUUUCUAAUUUGACAUAUAUCAGACCUGUAAAUGUUCUUGUGGUGGUUGUGCUUGUGGCUAUGAUUCCCCGGUGGCGGCUGUGGCGGUGGCAGCAAUGCGAAGGAACAAUGCUGCAGAGGCCGCACAAGUCCUAACAACUGUUGUUGGUGGUCGUUGUUGUUAAGGAUCUACUUUGUUGUAGUUACAGAUUUGUUUUAGUUAUAGUUUGGUUAUAUUUAGUUAAUAAAUCAAAUGGUUUAGUAAUACAUUGUAUUUUAAAA